rnacentral:lncRNA from 1 species
UGAAGAAGGCAGUUGGCUACUACUGUGGAAGUAUUUUAGUAACUGUGGAGCGUGGGAAAAUAUCCCUUUGUUGGCAGAGCAAUGAACUUGUCAUGUAAACUAACUGAUAUAUCCAAGGAAAGGGACAGUAUUUCCGGCUGUUUGUUCCUUUCUAUUGAUGGGUGUAGGAGCAACAGGAAUGGAAAUAACCCAAGGUAAUCCUUAGACUUCCUUCACAUGGAGAGUGUGAAGAAUUUACAAUUGGGUCUUUGCAAAGCAGGCCUGUGACACUUACUACCCAGGGUGUCAGUAAAGGCGAGUUACCCUUCCUGGAAGAACUUUGAAUGAGAUGCAAAGAGACCCUGGGAACUUGACCAGUCAAACUUAGAAGUAUGAAGAGAAUGUAGUGGGAGGAAGUGGAGGCCGUGAGUCAGCAUGAGUCAUUCUGUUCCAAUGAGAAUGAAGGCUGACUGAGAGGUGUGUGUAUCUUUUUUUGGUUUGGGUUUUGGGUUUUUUUUUCUCUUCGUCUUAAUCUUUGGAACAUCAUUGGUGAAUGGAGGAAAAAAGUAAGUGAUUUUGCUUAUAUGCUUGGUGCUUUUCAGGUAUUAAGUUCUCACUUCAAUGAUACUUUGCAUGAAUACAUAAAUGUGACUUUUAUCCCCCUAGGCAUCCUGUUCUCAAGGAGGUGGAGCAACCGACUUCUCCUUGGCUCAGAAAGCUUCCAAUGACAGGCUUGUCACCUAAGAAGAAUAAGUACUUGACAACUAUUUCGAUCAGUGAGACAACAUUGGGAGCUAAGCAAAAACAACAAAAAGCCCAUACUUGUCUGUAUCCAGUGCUUGAGAUCAAGUCAAUUCAACUAGCAUUUAUUAAGCACCUACUCUGUGCCAGCCACUGUAGUAAGUGCUUGGGUUGCAAGAAAGACAAAGACAAUCCCUGAUGUCAAGGAACUGAAAAUGUCAUGGGGAAGACAACUUGCCAGACCAUGUUUCUGAACUUCAGAGUGAAUUAAAAGUAAAUGCCAAAUGGAGCAGUGGUGAGUUUUCAACAAUGUUUUAACUUCAUUGUUUGUAGAUACUUUCUCCCAAGGUUCAAAAUUUACCCCCUUCUACCACUAUACCUUCUUUUUAAUCUGUGGUGUUUGGUAUUCAAAAUGGGAGGGGGGGAGCUGAAAGAGGAAGUAUGUACCUAUCUACACAGCAUCUAAUAUUUGUCUAACUGGGCCUGCUACAUUACUCUUUUCUCUGAAUAUCCACACACACACACACACACACACACACACACACACACACAUACACAUCCCUGUAUACAACAUUGCAGUUAUAGCUGGGUGGGCGUUCAGUGCUGCCUAACGAAUGAUGCCAAGGCAGAGAAAAUGUGAUCAUCUAAUGAUGUUACAGAACUUUACAAAAUAAUUUCUCCUCUAAUUGGUGUUCAAGCUUAGUCAUAGCAUAGUCUGAUGUAAUUAUGCUUAAGUAGAAGUGAAGAUACUAUGAGAGUAACUAGCUAGUGUUUGUAAAUUGUUUCAAGCUUUUUUAAGAAAGAUUUUUUUCCCCUCAGACUUGUGAUUUCAUCUUCGUGGUGAAGUCUUGAUAGGAAAACUCCCUACAACAAAGAGGAUCAGUAAGUCAUCUGUAACUUAAAAUCAAUCUUAGAGAAUUGCCUGGGGUACCAAGAAGUUAAGCCACUUGCCCCACGAUCACACAGCUAGUAAGUGUCAAAGGACCUAAAGCCAGGUUUCACCAAUUCUAAGACGGGCCUCCUAUCCUGUCUGUCUAGAAAGAAAGUCAUCC